rnacentral:rRNA from 2 species
AAUGAACGCUGGCGGCAUGCCUAACACAUGCAAGUCGAACGAAGGCUUCGGCCUUAGUGGCGCACGGGUGCGUAACGCGUGGGAAUCUGCCCCUCGGUUCGGAAUAACAGCGAGAAAUUGCUGCUAAUACCGGAUAAUGACGUAAGUCCAAAGAUUUAUCGCCGAGGGAUGAGCCCGCGUAGGAUUAGCUAGUUGGUGUGGUAAAGGCGCACCAAGGCGACGAUCCUUAGCUGGUCUGAGAGGAUGAUCAGCCACACUGGGACUGAGACACGGCCCAGACUCCUACGGGAGGCAGCAGUGGGGAAUAUUGGACAAUGGGCGAAAGCCUGAUCCAGCAAUGCCGCGUGAGUGAUGAAGGCCUUAGGGUUGUAAAGCUCUUUUACCCGGGAUGAUAAUGACAGUACCGGGAGAAUAAGCUCCGGCUAACUCCGUGC